GCACUUCUCCGCUCUACUUUCUCCUGUCAACUCUACAAGUAGUAGCCAUGCGUUACGUCAAUCUGGCCCAGGUCGGUCAUCUCUCCUACGUCUCAAGGAGGAAUUUCGCCAAGUCCAGACUUGACUGAACCAUCUCACAAGAUGGGAAAACCUGGUAUUUCAUCGCCCUCCUCCACCACCGAGGAGACAGCGCUUCUCCAGCCGACGAAACAUUCCUCCAAACCUGCGACCAGGAUUUCGAUAACUUUGCUAAACUCAAACCCAGACAGCAUCCUUGCCGCCGAAAUAAUUGCGACAAGGGGGAGAAUUCCUGUCGCCCUAAAAUGCCCAUCCUGCUCAAAUGUGGUGGAAGCCACGCAGAUCGAGAAAGUUAGAAAUGUGGAACUCGCUUUUAAAUUGCAGAAGCGUUGUGGAGCUUUAUUCGGUGGGAUGGUGAUCAUCACGUGGAUCGUUUACGGGUUGGAUUAUCUCUUCACGAGUGCACCAUUGGCCACGGAGGAGGAGUGGUGGACCUUCGUAAAGACGAGUUUACUGUAUCAGACUUUCGUUAUUGGGUGUGGGGCUCUGUAUUUGACAAUUUACUACUUCUCCAAUUGUAGCAAGUAUCGAGAUGUGGUACAUUAUUGUAGCGUUUGCGAGUUUAGAUUGGGGCGAAAUAAUGGAUUGGAUGAUUAUAAGAAGGACAAAUGCUGGCCAAGGUUUAUGCAGAUUACUUAAAACUGAUGUGGAAAAUUUCUCCGUGCUAAAUAUUCAACGUUUCAGGGAUUAAUAAUCAAUUAAUUUGAAAAUCAGACAGAUUAUUCAAUGUAAUUUAGUUAAAUAAAUACAAUCAUGUAGUAGAAUUCAGGUUGUCAAAGAUUUAUCAUUAUCAAUGUCAAAUUUUGAGCUUGCUAAAAUCUCAGUGUUGUCCUUGCCAAAAUAUGCGUAACUAUGCGUAAUAUUAUAUUACAAUUUCCUUCCAAAUUCAAUAACAAUUUAAAACGAUAAUAUGUAAUGUUCUAUUCUAUAUUAAUCGUAAAUACGUUUAAAGUAACACGUGUAUUGAUUUAGCUCGGGCUAAUUUAGAAAUAAUAAUAUAGUUGCUGGUUUGAUUAAUGUGAUGUCACUUACGGGAAGUAAUAAUAAAACAGAAUAUUUUAAUGUCUCUCCUAACA